CCUACGGGAGGCAGCAGUGGGGAAUUUUGGACAAUGGGGGAAACCCUGAUCCAGCCAUCCCGCGUGAGUGAAGAAGGCCUUCGGGUUGUAAAGCUCUUUCGAAAGUGAAGAAAACUUAUUUCGUAAUAUGUUAUAAGUAUGACGGUAACUUUAGAAGAAGCACCGGCUAACUACGUGCCAGCAGCCGCGGUAAUACGUAGGGUGCGAGCGUUAAUCGGAAUUACUGGGCGUAAAGCGUGCGCAGGCGGUUUUGUAAGUCAGAUGUGAAAUCCCCGAGCUUAACUUGGGAACUGCGUUUGAAACUACAAGACUAGAGUGUGUCAGAGGGGGGUAGAAUUCCACGUGUAGCAGUGAAAUGCGUAGAGAUGUGGAGGAAUACCAAUGGCGAAGGCAGCCCCCUGGGAUAACACUGACGCUCAUGCACGAAAGCGUGGGGAGCGAACAGGAUUAGAUACCCUGGUAGUCCACGCCCUAAACGAUGUCAACUAGUUGUUGGUGGAGUAAGAUCCAUGAGUAACGUAGCUAACGCGUGAAGUUGACCGCCUGGGGAGUACGGUCGCAAGAUUAAAACUCAAAGGAAUUGACGG
rnacentral:rRNA from 1 species